CAACAGCUGCAGCUGGAGUUGCACCUACCAUGUGCACCCAUCCAAGAUGUCAAAGGUUGGCAGCUACCAUUGUUGAAGAAGAGCUGGAGUUGGCAGCUAUUUUUAUUGAAGAAGAGUAGGAGCUGGUGGCACCAUUGUUGCCUAUAAAAGGGCACCGGGAGUGAGAGCAAAAUGAGAGAGAGCUGUGAGUGCAGUAGAGAGACCAAGAGAGAAAGUGAGGGGCUGCAAUGGCAGCAGCUGCAAGUGCAGCAAGAGAGCUGGGAGUAGAGUUUGAGUGAAGUGAUCCUCCUUCUCCAUGUAUUGUGUUGUAAUCAUUUCUCUAUCUCUAAAUAAUAUGGACUCUCCCGUGGAUGUAGGCGGUUUUGCCGAACCACGUUAAAUAUUGUGUCCCAGUGUGCUUAGCCUCCUUUUUGAGCAACUAUCAGUACACCACCGGUCGGAUUUCCCAACAGAGCAGUCUCCCAUCAGUUGGCAAAUAAAUUUGUAAAAUGCAAACUCUAAAAAAUGUUAGAAAAACUAGUUGCCCAGGUCUUCUGUCCUCAUGGGUUGUAAGAAUCUUGAGCCUGAGCCACACUGGAGACCUGGCAACCCGAGACAGACUACAGACCAGGCAGAUUUGCCCCAUAAACUAAAGACGAUUUUAAAGGCGGGGUGGCCAACGAGUGGUUUUUCUUUUCGACUAGGAGCGAGGACGCUGACAUUAUCUUAACAGAGAAUGGCUACUAUGCGGUUGACCCCGAAGGCACAGCCCCGAUCGCAUGGAAGGAUAAAAUUGUUGGUUAUGCAAAGACUCUGAAUUUCUAUCAAGGAAGCCCACCCAAUGGAUCUGAAACUGAUUGGAUGGUAGAAGAAUUCAGCGUUAAUGCUGAGUUUGUUCCAAUUAACAAAGAUGACCAUAGCACUCAAGAAAAGAAAGCCAACUUUGUUGUAUGCAAAAUUUAUCGAGUAGAAACAGAACCUGAAUGGGACAAGCAGUUCAAGUAAGAAGAAGAAACGAAGAAGCACAAGAGAGGAAAAUUUGGAAUCCCAGCAAGCUUGUUAAAUGAAGGCUCUCUAAUUAGUUUAGGAACAUCCUUAUAUCUUGUUUUAUGAUUAGUUUUCGAUUACAUAGGUCUAAAGCCAGCAAUGCUGCAGAAUUUUGACCGUAGUUUCUUCCCAUGUCUGAUUUAAAGAAACUGUUGUGCUUUUCAUGUCAUCAACCUUUUUUUUUGUUGUUGUUUGCUUAGCUAGGUAGGAAAGUGUUUGAUUAAUCUCUGGAUGGACUGAACAUUAUCCUGUCUGCAAGCAUUGAUUAUUGGCAAACAGAUGGCAAUUCAUACACAAGUUACAACUAGAACUUUUGCUCUUGGUGCUCUUCUCCUUUGUUUCAGCGGGCACUUGGAGCUUUCCUGUUACAACAUUUCAAAAUGAUUUUCUGAGUUUCAUAGCGAUGCAUCCUUUCCUAUUUCUCAGUA